CUACGGGAGGCAGCAGUCGAGGAUCUUCGGCAAUGGGCGCAAGCCUGACCGAGCGACGCCGCGUGUGUGAUGAAGGCCUUCGGGUUGUAAAGCACUGUCGGGAGGGAGAAAAGGGAAACCUUGAUCGACCUCCGGAGGAAGCACGGGCUAAGUUCGUGCCAGCAGCCGCGGUAAGACGAACCGUGCAAACGUUGUUCGGAAUCACUGGGCUUAAAGGGCGCGUAGGCGGGCAAGCAAGUCAGGGGUGAAAGCCCACGGCUCAACCGUGGAAGUGCCUUUGAUACUGUUUGUCUCGAGGGGGUAGGGGCGUGCGGAACUUCCGGUGGAGCGGUGAAAUGCGUAGAUAUCGGAAGGAACACCGGUGGCGAAAGCGGCGCGCUGGACCUCUACUGACGCUGAGGCGCGAAAGCCAGGGGAGCAAACGGGAUUAGAUACCCGAGUAGUCC
rnacentral:rRNA from 1 species